rnacentral:lncRNA from 1 species
ACCGACGUAGACGUCGCCGGUGGGAGACCAGUCAUCCUCGUUGUAGAUUGGGCUGCAGAUUCAUUGCCAAAUUAAUUAAAAACACAGUACAGUCGAACAACUACGACUGAUCAAAAUAAUGCAUGGUCGUCAACAAUUGCAUGGGUCAUCACACACAAAUUUCACUUUUUUUUGGGGGGCGCUGAUGGGCAAGCAAUAAGCUCAUCACCUGUAUCCGUCGACGUUCGCGCCGUACUUGUCGACGAACUGGUACACGCCCUUGCCCUGCAUAAUCGCAUCCCCACCACGUAAUUUCAGCUCCAUCGAUCGAUCUAUCACGUACGCAGCAUGCAUGCGUGGAUAACUAAAAAACUAUAUAGCUGCUAGCUAGCUAGAAACAACAAGUGCUCACCUUGCCCUUUCUCCCGUUGGCGUCGACGUCGACGGUCAGGCCACCCCCAAUCCCUGCGGACAUGCAUGCACGAACGAUCACGACGACGACUCAGCUCAGAAGUCAGAACCACACCCGGCCACCGGGGCCGGACGAAAAGCAGCUAGCUAAGCUGACAGUGAUCUACACACAGGCCGCGGCAGCAGGCUAGGUGGCACGCACCGUAGGGCUUGUCGGUCUUGAUCUUCUUCUUGGAGCAGACGACGGCGAAGGAGGAGGCGCGGCGGCCGAGGGGCGGCAGGCCCUGAGGCGCCACCGCCAGAGCUGACGAGGAGAUCAUGGAGGCCGCCAUCGCCGCCGCUGCUGCUGCUCCUAGCUAGC